rnacentral:rRNA from 1 species
GGACUACCGGGGUAUCUAAUCCUGUUUGCUACCCACGCUUUCGUGUCUCAGCGUCAGAAAUGGUCCAGAAAGCUGUCUACACCGCAGGUGUUCCUCCUGAUAUCUACGCAUUUCACCGCUACACCAGGAAUUCCGCUUUCCUCUCCCACCCUCGAGCACUCCAGUUUUCGCCGCACCCUCCCAGUUAAGCCGGGAGAUUUCACAACAAACUUAGAGCACCGCCUACACACUCUUUACGCCCAGUAAUUCCGAACAACGCUUGCUGCCUACGUAUUACCGCGGCUGCUGGCAC